rnacentral:lncRNA from 1 species
CCAAUUGAUCCAAAACAUGAUCUUUAGACAACUCUUUCGAUCCCCGAAAAACAUAAACCUUCGACAUAUCCGAAAACCCUAGCUCAUGCACCUGGACCUGCGUACCAUACGAUAUAAACCCUACCAUAGCAUUAUCCGGCAACAUCCCGAUCGCCCGUUUCAAUGCCGAUUUUGCGAAUUCCAAUUCCUCCUCCAACAUACAUGUGUCCAAAACGAACAAAUUAACAUCCCGAUCGCACGUUUAAACGCCGAUUUUGCGAAUUCCAAUUCCUCCUCCAACACACAUGUGUCCAAAACGAACAAAUAAAUUGGUGAAAUCGAAAAAUCUACCGGGUUAGGGUUUUGAGUCGGGUUCGCAUUCGG